rnacentral:misc_RNA from 1 species
GUCCACCAAGAUUUACCAUGCCGGGCAUGACACUCUAUUGUUCUUGUACAAGAAGAACACCGACAGUGUUUUGCAAGUGACUCAGGCGGACUAUAUUAAGUGCAAUACAAAGCAUCCCAUUGCAAGGUAUAACAGCGGGGCUGAUGCUAUCAAGCUGACUACCGUCGGGGAUUUCUACUUCAUCAGCGGCACGCCGAAGCACUGUCAACUUGGACAGAAGAUGCAUGCGAAGGUCACUCAGAGUGGGCAUUGAG